rnacentral:rRNA from 1 species
GACGAACGCUGGCGGCGUGCCUAACACAUGCAAGUUGAGCGACAAACCAGGGCUUUCCCUGGGGCAAAGCAGCGAACGGGUGAGUAACACGUGACUAACCUACCCCCAUAACCGUGACAACCCGAGGACACUCGGGCCAGUACCUGAUGUGCGCACUGGCCUUCGGUUCAGUUCGUAAAGUAAGCUUCUUCCUCCUUUUCUGCAGGGGCCCGCGGCCCAUUAGUUUGUUGGUGGGGUAAGGGCUCACCAAGACCGCGUUGGGUAGCUGGUCUGAGAGGACGAUUGGCCACACUGGGAGUGAGAGACGGCCCAGACUCCUACGGGAGGCAGCCGUGGGGAAUCUUGCGCAAUGAGCGAAAGCGUGACGGAGCAACGCCGCGUGGGGGAAGAAGGCCUUCGGGUUGUAAACACCUUUCAGGAGGGACGAAGGUUGGGCGGUGAAUAGCCGUCCGGACUGACGGUACCUUCACAAGAAGCCCCGGCUAACUACGUG